CCUACGGGUGGCAGCAGUGGGGAAUAUUGCACAAUGGGGGAAACCCUGAUGCAGCGACGCCGCGUGAGUGAAGAAGUAAUUCGUUAUGUAAAGCUCUAUCAGCAGGGCAGAAAAUGACGGUACCUGAGUAAGAAGACCCGGCUAACUACGUGCCAGCAGCCGCGGUAAUACGUAGGGGGCAAGCGUUAUCCGGAUUUACUGGGGGGAAAGGGAGCGUAGACGGCAGUGCAAGUCUGGAGUGAAAGGCGGGGGCUCAACCCGCGGACUGCUCUGGAAACUGGACGGCUGGAGGGCAGGAGAGGUAAGUGGAAUUCCUAGUGUAGCGGUGAAAUGCGUAGAUAUUAGGAGGAACACCAGUGGCGAAGGCGGCUUACUGGACUGUAACUGACGUUGAGGCUCGAAAGCGUGGGGAGCAAACAGGAUUAGAUACCCCAGUAGUC
rnacentral:rRNA from 1 species